rnacentral:lncRNA from 1 species
GUGUGUUCAUCCCUAAAUCUUCUCAGCCAAGAAGAAGACCUCAUCAUCAUCAGAAGCAAGGUAGGUAUAGUUCCUUCAACGCCAAGCAACAACACUCUCUUCAACAAAACAGACAAGAGUAUCAGCAGCAGAAUCAGGAGAACUCAAGAAGUACUCUCACCACUCACAACAACAAGAGCAACAUGAACAAUAGUGUCCAUGCUUCUAUCCCAAGAAGAGCCUACAGAGAUGCAUCAUCUAUCUACACUUGAUUAAUUCUAAAAGAUUCAUGGUUCAGUGUGAUCAAUAUUCUUAUAGUUAGAUGCAUAAGAUUUAUUUGUUUGUAAAUCAGGGAAUAAUAAAAAGGGGGUUUGUAUAAGGAAGGUCUUGGAGAUAUAUAUGUUCCAAGUUCGUUCUUGGUUUUUUUUUUGUUUUAAUCACAUAUGUAUGAUAUGUAACUCUUUUCUUGUCAUCAUUUUAGAGAUUGACUGACUUAUAUUCUCCAAUUGUAAUCUUCUUCUUUUUUAAGGAUGGGAUUAAAAUUUUUAAAGAAUGUGAUUACAACACAAGAUUGAUAUAGAGAGAGGAAUGUGUAAAGACAAGCACCAUGUGGGAAUGAGCAAAUGUUCCAUGUCUCUCUCCAAUCAAUCAAUAUCUCUUAAGGGACAUCACAGACGAGUUUGCCACACUGUCUGAAUCAUAUAUAUAAAAAAGAAAGAGAAAGAGAGA